UCCGAGCCACCGCGCCGCCGCCUCCGGAGGCCGCCCGCGCUGUUGACUCAACGUCAGCCUCCGCGGGAGGAAGAGGAGGAGGAGCCGAGGCCCGGUGCCCGGCCACCGCCACCGCCGAGCCGGCCGGGAUCCCGCGCUCCCGGUGGUCCGCGCCCCAGGCCGCGGGAAACUCCUGACCACCGCUCUCCAGGCGGGAGGUGGCUCGGCUUCCCCCUACAAGAAGUAAAUCCCCAAAUCCAGCCGUUCCCUGACCACCAUCACGGCUCCCACCACUAGAAUGAACCUGUGAUCACCACCUUAGAAACAAGCCCAGAAUUGCUUGCUGGAUGAUGAAGGACUCACAGCCAACAACCAGUCAACUGCUACACGUCAUGGCAUUUCUCUAACGAUGUGCCUCUCCCAGCUGGCAGCAGCCUCUCCAGCCUGGCCAUGACCCUGACAUCCAAGAGAACCUUGCACAGUUUGGGAAUAGCUUCUCUGAGCCAAGCCUUACUCUGCAACCUGCAAGUGAAAUGAGAGGAAAUUCAAGAGACCAAGAUACAAAGCCAGACCAAAGGGUUUUACUGCCCCUUCAUUCCCGCUGGAGAUAAAGAUUUCUGGUACACUGGUUCUCGCUUUCCAUCAAAGCAAGGAUUCCUUUCAACAUCCAAACAGUUGUGAGGUCCUGAACUGCUGCGCUCACCUGGUCUAGGGGCACUCAGAAGGCGUUUGUCUGCAGCCCACAGCCAGGGUCUGUGGGUAUAUUUGAGUAAAUGUUUCCAAGGAUGGCAGCAAUCUGCUCACUUGUAUUACAUCCAUGGGGCAGAAAUUGUUAGCUCUUGGUGACGCUGUUUGUAAUGCUUUGACCUCAUUCAGUCACCGAAAGGCAAAUUUCUCUUUGUUCUCUUACAGGAACACAACGAGGCAAGUAAACAUGAUGUCUAAGAAAGACUGUCAACAAGAGUGUUUACGGGCUUAUCAUGCCCUUGCUGUUC